AUCGUGUCUUCGCUACUUCGCUCCACAGAGAGGUGGAGAAAGACUGAAAGAGUGUCUUUGCUACUUCGCUCUACAGAGAGGUGGAGAGAGAGAGAGAGAGAGAGAGAGAGAGCGAAGGAGGUGGUACUGUUUGUUGGCAUCUACGAUUCGGAUUCGAUCUUCCCUGCGUAGAUUGGCUGAACGCAGAAAGCCUUGGUUCCUGGGAGAUUUCAGCUUGGGAAAGCUUUCGCAGUGUUCGUUUUGGGAGGCAGAAGGCCUCAACUAAGGCUAUUCAGGGAUUCGAGAGAAGGAGGAAGACGUACUUCGUUGGCUGAGAAUUGCGCAACCAAUUUGCGGAUUCCUGGGUGCGUGAUUGAUUUGGGCGAGGAGAGGGAAGGCGAUUCUGGAGGAAACGGGAGAGGAAUUCACAACAAAAGAGAGUGAUCGAAUUUCCAAAAGACUGAGGGGCCGGGUACGAAAGAAUCAGAGGAAUUCAAGACGGCUUUAGCACCGCCCUUAACCAAAGACUCUGAGUGUGAAGUGUUUGGACGGACCAAUCAUCAAGAAGAAGACUUCAAGUGGGUUCCAUCAUUCUUUUUGUCCAGAAAGAUAUUCAUUGGAGGCCUGGCAAAGGACACCACCUUGGUGGGCAUUGAUGGCUGAUUUGGAAAUUCUGGGAUUAUGAAGGAAACUGGGUUGAACAAAUGUGCGAGGUCCAGAUCGUGCAAUGUGUUUGGUUCUAAAGCCUGUAGAGAGAAAAUGCGGAGGGACAGACUGAAUGACAAAGAACAUUUGUGGGGGUGGACUUCUUUAGCGUAUUUCAAAAGGUUUGUCUUCAAACAAAGGAUUAGCGUGUAUCUAAUAUUGAAGAGUUCUCUGAUGCAGUAGGUGAGCUGAAAGUAGAGAAAAAGAGGGUUUCUCUACUAAUGGCGGCUGCAACCUUUCAAGUGGCUACAGUUGGUUCUCUCAUUGAUCUGGCCACUACCCAAGGAACAGUGUAGAGAGUUAGAGAAUUAGUUCAGUGGGGGAUUUUCAGAUUGUGAGCACAUGCAGAUGACGUUAGCCAAGGAAUUUCAGCACAUGGAGUCUUAAGUAUGCAAAGAAGCCUCCUAGACCGACUUUUUUGCUCUCUCUCCUCUUCUCCGGGUUUCGCCCUCACUUUUUUUUCUUAACUAUGGCUCUGCGAUUCAGUCGUUCUUGAAUCCUCUCUUUUUUUGGGUUUUUUUGCUCGACGCAGAGAGAGAAGAGUGCAGAGGAGGAAUGGAGAGAAAAGGAGAGUUUGUUUCCGCUGUGCCCAGAAUAGCCCAGUUGUUAUUGCUGAUGAAAAACAUCCCCGGAGAUUGGGGUUUUGAUUGCUGCAUCUCUUAUGGCGAUCUGGAGUUUUCAGCAAAAGAAGAAGGGGUUUUAUUUUCAGCAAAAGCAAACUUCCAGAUACUUUUCAUGAAGUGAAGAGCAAACGUGAAAGAAGGAAAGAAGACAAAGCUUUGACAAUGCAAUUGUUGGCUGUGGCAUGUUUGUCCCUUGCAGCCAAAAUGGAGGAGAUUAAUGUCCCAAUCACCCUUGAUUUACAGGAAUUGACUUCAUGGAAUUUAAACCUUCAGAGUUUGCAGCAGCAGUGACCAUUUCUGUAACGGGAGGAAGCAUAGCAUUAGAUUACACUUAGAAUUCAAUCUCGCUUAUCAAUGGUGAUUUGGAUGAAGCAAGGAAAGAGCAAAAGUCAAAACUUUGAACAUCAAAGACAAGAUAAUGUUGACUGGCAAGAGACUCCAGUUGCAGGUUGGAGCUAUUGUUGGACUUGAUCAAUAUGUCAACUACUUCAAAAUUCAGCUGAGGAUACAACAGAGGAUUAAAAGCGCAGAGCUCAGGAUGUUAACCGAGGAGCAAGAAAAUGAACUUCCGAACUUUACACCAUUCAUUCCAUUGAUGUCUCCCUUGUUGUAGUGAAGUUGAUCCCAUAGUAGCAUCCUUCUCCGCAGGAGCAGUUGGACUGAUCUCAGCACUGAUGAUGGUUGAAAUAAUAAGCAAAACACUGCAGGAGCAUCGGAGAUGUAAAUAUAGUCUUGGACCUGCUUAUGGCUCAUCUUCUGAUGCAAUGACUAUAAUCCAACAAAGAUCUCCUGUUGUUAAGAUGAAAACAAAAAUACAAGAGGGAUGGAGGACUAAGCCAAGGCCAAUCCCAGAAAAGAUACACCAAUAUGGAAGCAUAGCAAGGAACAUUCUAGAAUGUUCAUAACCAAACUCAAUAUAUUGUGCAUCACAUGGCCUCCCUCGGACAAAGGGAAAGAUCCUGACCACCUAGACAAUGAGAAAAGGAUGAACAGUGGAGGCUGCAAAGGAAGGCAGCUUUAACGAGCUUCACAUGGCUCCCAAACGCACUCACCAGACAGGAAAAAGGCAUCUGAACGAGAGUUUGUAUGGCAAUUUCAGCUGUAGGCUCGGUUUUGAUUUCUAAACCCCACUUCUGCACGCGUGAAGAAGCGUGCUCCACCGCGCAGUACCAGUUGGCUUUUUAAAGCAUAAAAAACCGGAGGAGCCUGAAGAGCAGGUACACAGAUCGCAGUAUCAUACACCCCUCAGCAGUCCCAAAACAAUGGAAACUGCGACGGGAAUAUAAGACAGUGUUGGGUCAGGAGCUGUGGGAGGACCUGAAUAAGUAUUAUCAUGGUAUGUUCCACAGCCCAACGUUUAUACUUUGUAUUACCGUGCCUGCCAAAAAAGUGGAGGAGCCUCUCACCAGUGGGGGAACGAAGAUGAUGUAGACCCACAUUUGGACCCGUGAAAAAGCAUGCUCCACCACAUUGUUUCAGUUGGAUUUGUAAGGCACAAAUAACAGAAUAAGUGUCCGAAGACAGAUGGUAGUAUGAACCCCCUCCCCCCCCCAACAGUCCCAAAACUUUGAAAUGCGUGACAGUGUUGGGUAAGGAGCUGUGGGAGACUUGAAUAAGUGUUAUCAUGGUGGAUGAUAGAGCGAAACCAGUUCCAAAGAAUGGAAGGACGGAAUAAAACUCAGUUGAUUAUGUUGCUGCCAGCGCCCAGCGGAAAGAAGCAUGUUAUUGUGUUUUCAAGCUUAAACUUUCAGGGGCGGCAGAGAAUUAAUGUACCUCCUUUGUGCUCUAUAGCUUUACAUGACUUCUUCUGUUAGUAAAUAUGCAAGCAUUCUUUUUUAAUUUAAGUCGAUACUUACUUGCAAAGAGUUGCAUUAUUUUGUAAUGUGUCAAAUGACAAAUUUUUCAGUUAUUGAUUUUAGCUUACGAUUGUGAUCA